rnacentral:rRNA from 1 species
UACGAAGGGGGCUAGCGUUGCUCGGAAUCACUGGGCGUAAAGCGCACGUAGGCGGGUCGUUAAGUCAGGGGUGAAAUCCUGGAGCUCAACUCCCAGAACUGCCCUUGAUACUGGCGAUCUCGAGUUCGGGAGAGGUGAGUGGAACUGCGAGUGUAGAGGUGAAAUUCGUAGAUAUUCGCAAGAACACCAGUGGCGAAGGCGGACUCACUGGCCCGAGUACUGACG